GAAACGGUCACACUUGUCUUAUAAGCGUCUCAAUUGACUUAAGCGUUUUCGCGGCACUGUGAAUAAAAUUGAAGUGAACAUACAACAUACAUAAGUGAAACCAAAAAUGAUCAAAAUGGCUGAAGAAGAACGUGGAGAGGAUCCUCUAUAUAAACUUAAAAAAAAAAUGGAAAUUGAGGAAGUGCAUACAUUUCUAACAGAUAUUUAUGCGCAUCAACUUAGCUGCAAAAGUAAACAUCGAGCAGCUAAAAUACAUGAACGCCGAUGACAUUAAGGAGGCAGUGCCUCCAUUAGGUCUGCGCAUAGAGUUUAGACAAAAACUCUUCAGAUGGAAGGAGUCUGAGGGUGGAGAUGAAGACCAAAUUGCGCCACUACCCUCUUUUGUCAAGCCAGACAUCAAGGCUCCCCUAAAGUUCAUUUUGAAUAUGUUUGCACUCCUUACUUAAUGAGUCUCAAAAGGGCAUGAAGAUUUUGGAACACGAAGAGACUCAUCUUUAUCUUCCCCAAAUGCUUCGGGACGAACUUAUUUCUGUUAUAAUAGAAGAGGCCAUGCUCGAAAACAUUACGAUUAGCGUUCCAGAUUUCCAAACCUUGCUAGAGGAAAUAUGUUUUGUUCUCCCAAGCCAGAUAAACGUUAAGAUUGAUAUUGAUUUCGACCUUAUGUAUCCUGGAAAAGGUUUUCAUUUGCUUUCAAAGUAGCAAGAAUUUCGGCAAAAAAAAUGUGUUAUUACGAAGACAACAUCAUUAAUGAACAUUGCAAAGCCCAACUCUUGCUUGUUAAAAACUGCACCAACAUAGAUGCCCAGGACUUCAUAAUCGCCACAUUGCUGAAUGCUGUUUUGCCCUCAUCAGCCCCCUUCAA